rnacentral:ncRNA from 1 species
AAUAGCAAGGAUAAAAACGCAACGUGUGUAGCAAUACAUACUAGAGCCGGUAGGUAGCCCGGCCGUCACGUAAGGAUUCGUGGUAAGUAACCUGCCCCUCCGGGUUGUCCGUUCUUUGCUCAUCAAUC